ACACACACACACAUAUACGACGGGCUUCUUUCAGUUUCCGCCUACAAAAUCCACUCGCAAGGAUUGGUCAACCCGAGGCUAUAGUAGAAGAUAGUGGUUGAGAAGGAAACUUCUCACUACACAGCCACUCCAGAUGAUAUGUUUUAUGCAUUUUAUAUAUAUGAUGUAUAUAUAUAAAAUGUAUUUAGGCGGAGGAGUGGCUGUGUGGUAAGUAGCUUGCUUACCAACCACAUGGUUCCGGGUUCCGGCGCCUUGGGCAAGUGUCUUCUGCUAUAGCCUCGGGCCGACCAAAGCCUUGUGAGUGGAUUUGGUAGACGGAAACUGAAAGAAGCCCGUCGUAUAUAUGUAUAUAUAUUAUGUGCGUGUGUGUUUGUGUGUCUGUGUUUGUCCCACAAGCAUUGGCUUGACAACCGAUGCUGGUGUGUUUAUGUCCCCGUCAAUUAGCUGUUCGGCAAAAGAGACCGAUAGAAUAAGUACUGGGCUUACAAAGAAUAAGUCCCGGGGUCGAGUUACUCGACUAUAGGCGGUGCUCCAGCAUGGCCGCCGUCAAAUGACAGAAGCAAGUGACACUGGGGUGCAAAUAUACGACGCCGAAACGUGUCCAUCGCGACUAUCCCUCUGAUAAAAUUACACCACGCACAUGCAUCACAACCAUAUGUGCACGACAUGGUGAUCUCAUAUCAAGAUAAACAGCGCAUGACCUUGCAGUUGGGGCCCAGUUAAAAUUUUCUUCAGUUCGAGUAGCCCAUCCCGCUCAAAAGGUCUCUGAAUAAGGUUUGUUUAAGGAUGAUGAAUGAAACACCGAUGUUUUCAGAAGUGAAUUAUUCAAAUCCUCAAAGAAUUCCUCUCAAAAAAGGGGGAAAAAAAUGGGGAAGAGGAGAAAAAACGAUCAAUAGGGAUCGUGUAUCACAGUGUUAUGAUAUAUGGUGUAAAGGGGAAAGCAAGUAAGGUUUAUCCGUGGGAAGAAAAGCCUACGAAAAAGACCACGGUAACCUUGGUCAAUAUUGUUAUAUGUUACCACAUUUGUUUGCAAGUGGGUAACCCUCUGUUUUCAAAUUCUGGGUUCAUAGGAUUAUGCUCAAGGUGGCUUCGUCAUUCGUACGUGCCAUCCUUGCUACAUUCACCCAUAGAUAGAUAGAUAGAUAGAUAGAUAGAUAGAUAGAUAGAUAGAUAGAUAGAUAGAUAGAUAGAUUUAUGAUCAAUUAAUCCAAAGGGUUACGCCAUACAUUAGUGGAAUACAUAUUUGUUAUUCUUAAACAAGAAGGCUAUUGGCUGUGACUUCAAAGCGUUGGCCAAUUAAGCGCACUCCGUUGACGGCUACGCAUGUCGAAUCUUCAGAGUCAGUGUGAAUAAUAUUUUUGUUUAAGUAUUAUAUAUAUAUAUAUGUGUGUGUGUGUGUGUGUAUUUAUAUAUAGUUUAAUAUUUCUCUCUAAGGCAUUGCAUCUUAAAUAAAAGUGCACUUCGUAUUUGAAUCUGCGAUGAAGCUUUAGGUUUAUUACUCAAGCACUGGAAUGUGAGUGCAUUGUGUCUGACAGCAGAAACAACUGUAAGCUAAUGGUGUUCAUGGCAUAGUCGCUUAUUCUCAUAUGAAUAUGUGUGCACGCACGCGCGAGUAGUUAUAGCAAUCUUUUUCAUUCUUGCAGCAAUAUCUUUCUCAAGAGCAAUAAGCAAUUCUAUCUUUUAUUUCCUGCUUGAGAAACGGGUACAUUUUGAUUUAGUUAUUGCGUAUUUUGAUUUUUUAAAAUUAUUAUUAAUGUUGUUAUUAUUGUUAUUAUUAUUAUUAUUAUUAUUAUUAUUAUUAUUAUUAUUAUUAUUAUUAUUAUUAUUAUUAUUAUUAUUAUUCUAUGUUUGACUUUUGCUUUAUAUCUGUACAAGUUGGCUCCAAGUCUCACCCAGAGACCUCGAGAGACCACAGGUUGGAAGUUCACGUUGUUGUUAUGCCUAGUGUGCCAUAUAUUAUUAUUAUUACUAUUAUUAUUAUUAUUAUUAUUAUUAUUAUUAUUAUUAUUAUUAUUAUUAUUAUCAUUAUUAUUGAGUGAGAGCAACUCCUGCCAUCAAAGUGACACUGGGGUGCAAAUAUACGACGCCCAAAUGUGUCCAUCGCGACUAUCCCUCUGAUAAAAUUACACCACGCACAUGCAUCACAACCAUAUGUGCACGACAUGGUGAUCUCAUAUCAAGAUAAACAGCGCAUGACCUUGCAAGUGGGGUCUAGUUAAAAUUUUCUUCAGUUCGAGUAGCCCAUCCCGCUCAAAAGGUCUCUGAAUAAGGUUUGUUUAAGGAUGAUGAAUGAAACACAGAUGUUUUCAGAAGUGAAUUAUUCAAAUCCUCAAAGAAUUCCUCUCAACGAAUGGCUUUGAUGCUUCCCCACUACUUCUGCUCUUGAUCAGAGAUGAGCAUAUCCUCAGCCACUAAGGGACAUGCUCAACUGGUUAAGGUCAAACAAAUGACAAGCAAAUCUGUGGUAUUGAGCAGAAUAUUUGCUGUAGCCCAUCUUUUAUACCAAGACAAAACAACGCACAUGAUAACACUUCCAAUCAGGUAAGAUUAGAAGCCAUGAGAACCACUGCCUGGUACUGCAUCAGGAUGUUUGUCAUUAACAUUGUUGUUGUUGUUGUUGUUGUUGUUGUUGUUAUCAUUAUUGAGUGAGAGAACAGUGCAUGCUAUGAAACUGACGCUGUUAAAAUAUACGAAGCCCAGUAUAUCCAUCAUGACUACCCGUCUGAUAAGGGUACACCAGGCACAUGCAUCACAACUAUAUGUGCACGACAUGGUGAUCUCAUACCAAGAUAAACAGCACAUGACCUUGCAGGUGGGGCCCAGUUAGAAUUUUCUUCAGAUUGAGUAGCCCAUCCUGCUCAAAAGAUCCUUGACAAACGUUUUGUUUAAGGAUGUUGAACGAAACACCCAUGUUUCCAGAGAGGUAUUAUUCAAAUCCUCAAAGAAUUCCUCUCAACACAUGGCUAUGAAGAUCCCGCACUACUUCUGCUCGUGAUCAGAGAUGCACAUAUCAUCAGCCACUAUGCAACAUGGUCAACUGGUUAAGGUCAAACAACUGACAAGCAAAUCUGUGGUAUUGAGCAGAAUAUUUGCUGUAGCCCAUCUUUUAUACCAAGACAAAACAAUGUACAUGAUAACACUUCCAACCAGUUAAGAUCAGAAGCCAUGAGAGCCACUGUCUUCUACUGCAUCUGAGCAUUUAUUAUUAUUAUUAUUAUUAUUAUUGUUGUUGUUGUUGUUGUUGUUGUUAUUAUUAUUUGCAUACUUUUGUUUUAGCUUUUGAUCGUUGGUGAGAGACAAGGGAGGGAAGCACUAAGAUUUGAACCUGGGAACAUUUGGUCUUGGAAACUCCUCUUGAGCCGGUCUGUUCUGUGCAUCUAGGCAAAGUAUGGAACAUAUUACUUGACCGUAAAGCCACCGUACAGUGUGGUGUGUCCAGAAUUAUAUCGGUUCGAUCCCGGCAAGGAAAUGUUUAGUUAGAUGUUAAGUUUUGUGCUUUCGACAUUCUACAGAACUGAAAAAUAUUCCCAAAAAACCCUUAUCAUCUCCAUUGUCAUCAUCAUCAGCAACAUCAGCAUCAUCAUCAGCCUCAGCUGCAUCAUCAUCAUCAUCAUCAUCAUCAAAGAUAAGCUGGAUCAAAGAUGAGCUGAGAAUAAGAUAAGCUGGAUCAAAGAUGAGAUGGGAAUAAAUUGAGCUGGGAAUAAGAUAUGAUGGAUCAAAGGUGAGCUGAGAAUAAGUUGAGCUGUAACAAAGAUAAGCUGGAUCGAAGAUGAGCUGGGAAUAAAUUGAGCUGGAUCAAAGAUGAGAUGGGAAUAAAUUGAGCUGGGAAUAAGAUAUGAUGGAUCAAAGAUGAACUGAGAAUAAGUUGAGCUGUAUCGAAGAUAAGCUGGAUCAAAGAUGAGAUGGGAAUAAAUUGAGCUGGAUCAAAGAUGAGCUGAGAAUAAGUUGAGCUGUAUCAAAGAUAAGCUGGAUCAAAGAUGAGAUGGGAAUAAAUUGAGCUGGAUCAAAGAUGAGCUGAGAAUAAGUUGAGCUGUAUCAAAGAUAAGCUGAUCAAAGAUGAGAUGGGAAUAAGAUAUGAUGGAUCAAAGAUGAACUAAGAAUAAGUUGAGCUGUAUCGAAGAUAAGCUGGAUCAAAGAUGAGAUGGGAAUAAAUUGAGCUGGAUCAAAGAUGAGCUGAGAAUAAGUUGAGCUGUAUCAAAGAUAAGCUGGAUCAAAGAUGAGAUGGGAAUAAAUUGAGCUGGGAAUAAGAUAUGAUGGAUCAAAGGUGAACUGAGAAUAAGUUGAGCUGUAUCAAAAAUGAGAUGGGAAUAAAUUGAGCUGGAUCAAAGAUGAGCUGAAAAUAAGUUGAGCUGUAUCAAAGAUAAGCUGGAUCAAAGAUGAGAUGGGAAUACAUUGAGCUGGGAAUAAGAUCUGAUGGAUCAAAGAUGGACUGAGAAUAAGCUGAGCUGUAUUAAAGAUAAGCUGGAUCAAAGAUGAGAUGGGAAUAAAUUGAGCUGGAUCAAAGAUGAGCUGAGAAUAGGUUGAGCUGUAUCAAAGAGAAGCUGGAUCAAAGAUGAGAUGGGAAUAAAUUGAGCUGGAUCAAAGAUGAACUGAGAAUAAGUUGAGCUGUAUCAAAGACAAGCUGGAUCAAAAAUGAGAUGGGAAUAAAUUGAGCUGGAUCAAAGAUGAGCUGAGAAUAAGUUGAGCUGUAUCAAAGAUGAGCUGGAUCAACGAUGAGCUGAGAAUAGGUUGAGCUGAGAAUAAGAUGAGCUGGAUCAAAGAUGAGCAGAGAAUAAGUUGAGCUGUAUCAAAGAUAAGCUGGAUCAAAGAUGAAAUGGGAAUAAAGAUGAGCUGAGAAGUGGUUGAGCUGAGAAUCAGAUGAGCUGGAUCAACGAUGAGCUGGAUCAAAGAUGAGCUGGGCAUAAGCAACGACACAAAUAACUGCAGCAGCAGCGGUGGUGGUGGUGACAGCAGCAGCAGCAGUAGCAGCAUCAGCAGUAGCAGCAUCAGCAGUAGCAGCAGCAAUAAUAAUGGUUUCUGGUUUUGGUGUCAAGGCUAGCGAUUUUGAAGGGCGGGACAUUGUUCGAUUACAUCGAAUCCCAAUACUUGAUUCGUACUAAUUUUAUCAAUACCGAAAAGAUAAAAGACAAAGAUGACCCUGGCAGGAUUUGAAACCAAAUAGUAAAAACCGAGGAGAAAUAUCGCAAAGCAUUUUUUUUUAAUGUUCUAACGAUUCUUGCCAACUCACCGCCUUAAUGGCAAUAAUAGUUCUUCCUACUGUAGGCACAAGGCUUGAAAUGUUGGUGGGUGAGGGUUAGUCUAUUACAUCGACCUCAGUUUUCACCUGGAACCUUAUUUUAUUUCAUCGACCCCGAAAAGAUGGAAAUUGAAGUUGACCUCGGAGGAGUUUGAACUCAGAAUGCAAAAGUGGAAGAAAUUCUGGUAAGCAUUACGUCCGCUGUGCUAAUGGUUCUGCUACCUCAACUCUUUAAUUAUGUGAUGAAACCUUACAGCUUAUUUUGCUGGGUAUGAUGGAAAGUAUCAGCUGUCUACAGUCAGGAGACUAAGGUUUACUAGUCACGCUUCAAGAACCUUGCGAAGAAUUCUUGCAAUGCUGAUUUUUGUUGGUGUUCUACCUUCACACUUGCACCAAUCUGAGUGGCACCUUGGGCAAGUGUCUUCUAUUAUAGCCUCGGGCCGACCAAAGCCUUGUGAGUGGAUUUGGUAGAGGGAAACUGAAAGAAGCCCGUCGUAUAUAUAUAUAUAUUAUAUGUAUAUAUAUAUAUAUAUAUAUAUAUAUGUGUGUGUGUGUGUGUGUGUGUGUGUGUGUGUGUGUGUGUAUGUUUGUGUGUCUGUAUUUUGCCGAACCGCUAAGUUACGGGGAAGUAAACACACUACCAUCGGUUGUAAAGCGAUGUUGGGGUGGAGCAAACACAGACACACAGACACACACACACAUACAUAUACAUAUACAGGACGGGCUUCUUUCAGUUUCCCUCUACCAAAUCCACUCACAAGGCUUUGGUCGGCCCGAGGCUAUAAUAGAAGACACUUGCCCAAGGUGCCACGCAGAUUGGUGCAAGUGUGAAGGUAGGACAAGUGUGAAGGCAAGGACAAGUGUGAAGGCAAGGACAAUAUGCGACUUCGUUGAAACAGUCCUUCCUGCAAAGCAAAUAAAAUAAAAUUUGGGACUUUUUGAGUGGUAACAAGAACAGGACAAUAUAUAUAUAUAUAAAAGACACUGUACUCUAAAGAUACUUACCCAAGGUGCCAAUGUGGUUGGGAAGCAUUCUUCUUACAUAUAUAUGUGUGUGUGUACGUGUGUGUGUGUGUGUGUGUGUGUGUGUGAGUGUGUGUGUGUGAGUGUGUGUCGUUGUGUCUGUGUUUGCGCCUCCCCCUACUGCUCAGCAGCCAAUGUUGGUUUGUUCGUGUACUCAUGAUAUAGCAGUUCAGCAUAAGCGAAUGAUAGAAUUAUGUAUCAGGGUUUAAAAACAACAUACGUUCUGGGGCUCAAGGAGAGACAACAUCAGGGUGUGAAUUGUGUUUAUGUGCGUGCGCGCAUCAGUCUGUGUACUCGAUCUUUUAAAAUUCUUUUCAGGGCAAUGCCCCAGCCUGGUCGCAAUGAAAUAAGUGAAACCAGUAAAAACAAAUUAAAAAAAAAAAAAACCACAAAGAAAACAUUACAUUGAAAAUUAUAAAUGCGCAUUGGGACUGAAUGGAGAAUGCAGGCAUGGCUUGAUGGUUAAGCGGCUUGCUUCGCGAUCGCUAGUUCGCCGUUUCGAUCCCAAUGCGUGUAUCUCGGUCAAUUAUAUUUCACUGACACGUUGAGUCGAUUCAAGCUUCCUGGGUGAAAUUGAUGUCAAGGAAACUUUGUGGAAUCCUCUUGGAUCGACUGUACUAGUAAUUAUUCAAAGAGUCUCUUGUAACAUUCUGACUAGAAUUAAGGGUUGACGGGCCCCAGAAUUACAUGAAUGUUACCCUUCUCUGUCAUACUAGUUGCAUCUUUGCUUAUUUAACCCUUUAUCUCCCCCUUUUGUAUCAAAUGUGAUACGCAGGACAUAUUUCCGUGGCGUCAAUACAUCAUAUAUAAUAAUAUUAAUAACUAGCAGUAUCGCCCGGCGUUGCUCGGGUUUGUAAGGGAAAUAACUAUAUAAGCAUUUUUAGAGAGUUACUUCCCUUAUAGAUGCCAAUUCGGGCUUUCUUAGCCAUUUCUGUUUUGGUGUCUUCAAGCCAUGAAGUCGUUGUUCUAAAAGAACGCUGGUCUCCUUGACAACGCUUUACGACGUUGAUUUCCUUAUACUCCCUUCCCCACAGCUUCACGAGGGAGGGAAGAAGGGGGAGAAGCAAACAGGUGCAGGUGUGACCAUGGACGCCAACUCCGCCGCCAUCGACACACGAAAAAUUAUGCAUUAAAAUGGAAUAAAAAAUGAUGUUAAAUUAUUUUUAAAAUCGUAGACUCAUCGUAGACGCGCGCUAAUACUCAGACGGGCUCGAUAUGAAUCACGACUAUAAGAUACCCGA
rnacentral:lncRNA from 1 species